GUGCGGCUGAGAAUGGAAGUCUUCAAAAACGAGACCAAGAGACGCGAGCUAGUCAACAAUCUUCAGAGUCUGUCGGCCGGUGACCGUGUGCGUAUGCUGCGUGCCAUGCCCCUCAGUCUGGCAGAGAAGACUAAACUCAGGCUUUGUAUCACGUCUUGUUCGGCGGUCUCUUCAUCCUAAAUUCCCUGCAGUUGUGGAAGGUGGCUCUGAAGAGGUUGUGUGGCCGCUUCGGCACUGGUGUGCUCUUCUACUUCCUCUUCCUCAGAACUCUUCUGCUCUUCAACGUCUUCCUCUUCCUCA